CCUACGGGGGGCAGCAGUGAGGAAUAUUGGUCAAUGGACGAGAGUCUGAACCAGCCAAGUAGCGUGAAGGAUGACUGCCCUAUGGGUUGUAAACUUCUUUUAUCAAGGAAUAAAACGAGGCACGUGUGCCUUUUUGCAUGUACUUUAUGAAUAAGGAUCGGCUAACUCCGUGCCAGCAGCCGCGGUAAUACGGAGGAUCCGAGCGUUAUCCGGAUUUAUUGGGUUUAAAGGGAGCGUAGAUGGGUUGUUAAGUCAGUUGUGAAAGUUUGCGGCUCAACCGUAAAAUUGCAAUUGAUACUGGCAGUCGUGAGUACAGUUGAGGUAGGCGGAAUUCGUGGUGUAGCGGUGAAAUGCUUAGAUAUCACGAAGAACCCCGAUUGCGAAGGCAGCUUACUAAACUGUGACUGACAUUGAGGCUCGAAAGUGUGGGUAUCAAACAGGAUUAGAUACCCUUGUAGUC
rnacentral:rRNA from 1 species